CAAGAAAGGGAGGGGGAAAAUGGGGGAGAUGGCGAUCUAACCCUUACAGUACCCUCCACCUACCACCAGAAGACCCUCCCCAGAGGGUCUGUGUGACUAUUUCCCCAGAAUUCUUAUGUGGAAAUCCCACCUCCCAAAGAUGCUGGUAUUAGAAGGUGGGACCUUGGGGGGGGGCGGGGCGCUGAAUUCGUGAGGGUGGAGCUCUCCUCAGUGGGACUCUUGCCUUAUAAAACGGGCUCCAGAGAGCUCCUCCAGCGUGUGAGGACAGAGAAAAGGCUCUGGCCCUGGAGCAGGAAGAGGCCCCUCGCUCACAGGACCUCUCUGGCACUCCGUUUUGGAACUUCCAGAAUCCAGAGCUGUGAGAAAUGGCGUUUGGGUGAAUUUAAGCCACCCAGUGUCUGGUAUGUUGUUACAGCAGCUGGAAUACACUGCACACCCCCUUCCUUACAUUUUGGCCUAAUGGCCCCUGAGUGUAAGGGAGAGAGGGGCCACGUGGAAGAAGGACCUAGCAUUUGUUGUCAUUGUCUUUUGAUUUUUAGUGUUUAUUCUUUUUGAGAGAGAGACAGAGCCAGAGCCAGAGACAGAAUGUGAAUGGGGAAGGGGCAGAGAGAGAAUUUGACUAGGCUCCAGGCCCUGAGCUGUCAGCAUGGAGCCCAACGCGGGGCUUGAACUCUCGAGCUGUGAGAUCACGAACUGAGCCGAAGUCGGACAUGUAACCUACCGAGGCCCCCGGGCGCCCCUGUUCUCGUGGUCUUACAGACAAAGACGUGGGGAUCUGGAGUGACCAGGAGGAGGUCACCCCGUUAGUCAGGAGUUGGAAGUCAGGGCUCCUGGAUCUCAAAGCCUCAUCUUCCCCGCAAUCCUGCCCUUUCUACCAAGCAGCCAUGCACUUGGUGUGCCUUUAAAAGGGAACCACGAGUUCAGGACUCUGUUCGGGUCCUUCCUCUAGAACACACGCAGGGACAGGGCCUGCAGCCUCUCCUCAUGCAGGUUUCUGACGAGCGCACAGGCAGACAGGCCCCUGGCUCCGCGGUGCCACUGCGAAGUCCCCUGCUUGCCAUCAACUGGUCGCCAUGAGUCCUUCUCAAGAAAGUCAUCUCUGCUGCCUCCUGCUUGCUUUUCUGCUCCGCUGUGCAGGGGGACGUUAGCUGGCCGGCCUCUCUUUCUUCCUUAUCUCACGUGUGGUGCAUAGAGAGGACUCUGCAGGACAUGAGGUGCGCCACGGCCUAGCCUGUGCUCCAGAGCACGUCAUAUGCGGGCAGACGCCCGUUUCACGUUCCACUCACAUGUAGGUCAGCCAGGGGAGCGGAUGUAGAUCAGCAAGGGGAGCGGGGGCAGGGGGCAGGGUUGUCUAGGUUUUUCUGUGUCCGGGACGAUGCCGGCUCAGCCCUCCAAAGGGCCGCGUGUCCUUUUCGGAGCUGCCCCCUGGCGACCCACAGGUCCAAGCCCUCACUCACAGUGGCAGCUAACCACAGCGGCUACACCACGCUUUUGCCUCACCUGCCGGGGCACCGCAGAGCAGGUGCGGCUGGUGGGCUCGCCGUGGUCUCCUGCACCACACGCCUGCUUCCCCCCGUAUCUAUAGAUGCUCGGAAGAACACUUCCGCCAGCAGAGUUCAUUCUUCUGAGACUUUUACCUUAAAACACGAGUGCCCAGGGGAACAGGAAAACCAUAAAUUGUUGUCAGCUGAGAACUGGCGGCUGGUUUAGUGUCUAACAAGUAUCUUGUUACAAGUGGAUGUUGAAAUACCCACAUUUGGCAAUAAGGUGCUUCUGCCUUUUAUGUAUUUGACGGAUGCGUAACUUGUCCUUUUGGUAUCUCAUUCACUUACUCGGGCACCGGCAACGCUGUUUGGUUGGGAGAGCCACAGGAAGCGUUACAGUUCUAGGGACGUCGGGUGGCCAGGAUGGGGCCUCCCUGCAAACACCAUUCAACAGAAUCAGGCUGAGAGCCAGUGGCCCAGAGGCUCCGAACUAGAAUGGGGGUGGUACCGAGCUCUUCCUCAGAGCGUUGCGAGGAUCAGAUGCAGAGGAUGCUCCUACGGUGCACACUCACAGCAUCGCCGUUCACCUCAUUGUCAUCAGUGCCAUUCACAUCGUCAUCACGGUCACCAUUGCUGGCCUCGCCAUCAUCAUGAAAAGCACGAGGUUUUGAUUUGCCCCGAGCCUGGGUGUCCACCUUGGGAAAAAUCUGUGAGUGGCAGAUACUCACAGAACUCCGGAGUUGGACCGAAACCUCAAUGAAAUAUCACCGCAUACCUGUCAGAUCAGCUGUUAGCAAAAAUGACCAAGAAAUGUCAAGAAAUAAUAAGUUUUGGUGAGGAUGAAGAGAAAAAAGGAACCCUCACGCAUUGCUGAUGGGAAUAUAAACUGGUGUGACUACAAUGGAAAACACAGUGGAGGUUCCUCAAAAAAAAUGAAAAGUAGAACCACGUUAUGAUCCAGCAGUUGCAUUUCUGGGCAUUUAUCUGAAGAAAGAGAAGACACCAAUUUAAAGAGAUCUACACAUCCCUGUGUACAGUGGCACAUUAGUUACAGUAGCCAAGAUACGGGUGCUACGUCAGUGUCGAUCAAUACCUGAACAGAUAAAGAUGGGGUUGGUGUUCGUGCACAAUGGAAUAUUACGCAGCCAUUAAAAAAGAAUACAGUCUUGCUAUUUGCAGCAACACGGAUGGACCUCGUGGCUGUGAUGCUAAGAAAAAUAUGUCACAGACAAAGAUAAAUUCUGUGUGAUUUCACUUCGAUCUGGAAUAUAUAAGACAAAAA